GCGAAAGUGGCGGAAUUGGCAGACGCGCUGGACUUAGGAUCCAGUGAGGAUAACUCAUAGGGGUUCAAGUCCCCUCUUUCGCACCA
rnacentral:tRNA from 1 species